rnacentral:rRNA from 1 species
AGAGUUUGAUCCUGGCUCAGGAUGAACGCUAGCGAUAGGCCUAACACAUGCAAGUCGAGGGGCAAAGUAGCAAUACGGAUGGUGGACCGGCGCACGGGUGAGUAACGCGUAUGCAACCUGCCUACAACAAGGGAAUAACCCGUUGAAAGACGGACUAAUACCCUAUAAUACAGGGGUCCCGCAAAUAUUUGUUAAAGAUUUAUCGGUUGUAGAUGGGCAUGCGUUCCAUUAGCUAGUUGGUGAGGUAAGGGCUCACCAAGGCAACGAUGGAUAGGGGAACUGAGAGGUUUAUCCCCCACACUGGAACUGAAACACGGUCCAGACUCCUACGGGAGGCAGCAGUAAGGAAUAUUGGUCAAUGGGCGCAAGCCUGAACCAGCCAUGCCGCGUGCAGGAAGACGGCCCUUGGGUUGUAAACUGCUUUUGUCAGGGAAUAAACCCCCGCUCGUGAGCGGGGCUGAAGGUACCUGAAGAAUAAGCAUCGGCUAACUCCGUGCCAGCAGCCGCGGUAAUACGGAGGAUGCAAGCGUUAUCCGGAUUCAUUGGGUUUAAAGGGUGCGCAGGCGGAUUGGUAAGUCAGGGGUGAAAUCCCACAGCUCAACUGUGGAACUGCCUUUGAUACUGUCAGUCUAGAGUAUAGUUGAAGUUGGCGGAAUGUGUCAUGUAGCGGUGAAAUGCUAGAUAUGACACAGAACACCGAUCGCGAAGGCAGCUAGCUAAGCUAUAACUGACGCUCAUGCACGAAAGCGUGGGGAUCAAACAGGAUUAGAUACCCUGGUAGUCCACGCUGUAAACGAUGAUUACCGAUGUUGGCGAUACACAGUCAGCGUCUGAGCGAAAGCAAUAAGUAAUCCACCUGGGGAGUACGAUCGCAAGAUUGGAACUCAAGGAAUUGACGGGGGCCCGCCAAACGGAGGGCAAUGU